rnacentral:rRNA from 1 species
AGCGAACGCUGGCGGCAGGCCUAACACAUGCAAGUCGAACGGAUCCUUCGGGAUUAGUGGCGGACGGGUGAGUAACACGUGGGAACGUGCCCUUUGGUUCGGAACAACUCAGGGAAACUUGAGCUAAUACCGGAUGUGCCCUUCGGGGGAAAGAUUUAUCGCCAUUGGAGCGGCCCGCGUCUGAUUAGCUAGUUGGUGAGGUAAAGGCUCACCAAGGCGACGAUCAGUAGCUGGUCUGAGAGGAUGAUCAGCCACAUUGGGACUGAGACACGGCCCAAACUCCUACGGGAGGCAGCAGUGGGGAAUCUUGCGCAAUGGGCGAAAGCCUGACGCAGCCAUGCCGCGUGAAUGAUGAAGGUCUUAGGAUUGUAAAAUUCUUUCACCGGGGACGAUAAUGACGGUACCCGGAGAAGAAGCCCCGGCUAACUUCGUGCCAGCAGCCGCGGUAAUACGAAGGGGGCUAGCGUUGCUCGGAAUUACUGGGCGUAAAGGGAGCGUAGGCGGACUGUUAAGUUAGAGGUGAAAGCCCAGGGCUCAACCUUGGAAUUGCCUUUGAUACUGGCAGUCUUGAGUACGGAAGAGGUAUGUGGAACUCCGAGUGUAGAGGUGAAAUUCGUAGAUAUUCGGAAGAACACCAGUGGCGAAGGCGACAUACUGGUCCGUUACUGACGCU